GACGAACGCUGGCGGCGUGCCUAACACAUGCAAGUCGAACGCGAAAGCCCCUUCGGGGGUAAGUAGAGUGGCGUCCGGGUGAGUAACACGUGGGUAAUCUGCCUUCGGGUGGGGAAUAACCCAGGGAAACUUGGGCUAAUACCGCAUAAUGCAGCGGCACCUAAUGGUGAUUAGUUGUUAAAGCGGGGGAUCGCAAGACCUCGCGCCUGAAGAGGAGCCUGCGGCAGAUUAGCUAGUUGGUGAGGAAUGGCUCACCAAGGCUUCGAUCUGUAGCUGGUCUGAGAGGACGGCCAGCCACACUGGCACUGACACACGGGCCAGACUCCUACGGGAGGCAGCAGUGGGGAAUUUUGGGCAAUGGGCGAAAGCCUGACCCAGCAACGCCGCGUGAAGGAUGAAAUCCCUCGGGAUGUAAACUUCGCAAGAACGGGAAGAAUAAGCGAGAGUUAAUAUCUUUCGUGA
rnacentral:rRNA from 1 species